GACGAACGCUGGCGGCGUGCUUAACACAUGCAAGUCGAGCGAGGCCCAUCCUUCUGGGUGGUGCCCUAGCGGCGAACGGGUGAGUAACACGUUUUCAACCUGCCCUCAGCUCUGGGAUAACUCCUAGAAAUUGGUGCUAAUACCGGAUGUGACCGCUGACCGCAUGGUCUGGUGGUGGAAAGAUUCAUCGGCUGAGGAUGGGCCCGCGGCCUAUCAGCUUGUUGGUGGGGUAAUGGCCCACCAAGGCGACGACGGGUAGCCGGCCUGAGAGGGUGACCGGCCAAACUGGGACUGAGACACGGCCCAGACUCCUACGGGAGGCAGCAGUGGGGAAUAUUGCGCAAUGGGCGAAAGCCUGACGCAGCGACGCCGCGUGAGGGAUGACGGGCUUCGGGUUGUAAACCUCUUUCAGUAGGGACGAAGAGAAAGUGACGGUACCGACAGAAGAAGCACCGGCCAACUACGUG
rnacentral:rRNA from 1 species